rnacentral:rRNA from 1 species
GACGAACGCUGGCGGCGUGCCUAAUACAUGCAAGUCGAGCGGGCCUCCGGAGGUGCUUGCACCUCCGGACGGCCAGCGGCGGACGGGUGAGUAACACGUGGGCAACCUGCCUUUGAGGCCGGGAUAACACCGGGAAACCGGUGCCAAUACCGGAUACGUCCUCUUUCGCGCCUGCGAGAGGGGAGAAAGACGGUCUUUAAGGCCGUCGCUCAAAGAGGGGCCCGCGGCGCAUUAGCUGGUUGGUGGGGCAAGGGCCUACCAAGGCGACGAUGCGUUGCCGACCUGAGAGGGUGAUCGGCCACACUGGGACUGAGACACGGCCCAGACUCCUGCGGGAGGCAGCAGUAGGGAAUCAUCCGCAAUGGGCGAAAGCCUGACGGUGCAACGCCGCGUGAGUGAGGAAGGUUUUCGGAUCGUAAAGCUCUGUUGUGAGGGAAGAACAGCAUCCGGAGGAAAUGCCGGAGGUUUGCCGGUACCUCACCAGAAAGCCCCGGCUAACUACGUGCCAGCCGCCGCGGUAAAAC